GGCUUGUCCAAGUGCAGUGGUGUUUACAACUAAUUGAUCACAACCAGUUAUAGAUGUAGUUGUUCUCCACUCCCACUGCUUUGCUUGACUACCCUUAA
rnacentral:Y_RNA from 1 species